GAUGAAGAACGCAGCGAAAUGCGAUAAGUAAUGUGAAUUGCAGAAUUCAGUGAAUCAUCGAAUCUUUGAACGCACCUUGCGCCCUUUGGCCAUUCCGAAGGGCAUGCCUGUUUGAGUAUCAUGAACACCUCAACUCUUCAUGGUUUUCCAUGUUGAGCUUGGACUUUGGGGGUCUUGCUGGCCUGUGGGUCGGCUCCUCUCAAAUGAAUCAGCUUGCCGGUUUUUGGUGGGCAUCACAGGUGUGAUAACUAUCUACGCUUGUGGUUUUCCACCAGGGUAACCUUCAGCAGUGGAGGUUCACUGGAGCUUACAAAUGUCUCUCCUCUGUGAGGACAGCCCUUUGAAUGUUUGAUCUCAAAUCAGGUAGGACUACCCGCUGAACUUAAGCAUAUCAAUAAGCGGAGGA
rnacentral:misc_RNA from 1 species